ensembl:snRNA U6 U6 spliceosomal RNA
GUGCUUGUUUUGGCAGCAUAUAUACUUAAAAUUGGAAUGAUAUGGAGAGGAUUAGCAUGGUCCCUGCACAAGGAUGACAUACAAAUUUGUGAAACUCUAUAAUGUUCU